UUCUAAAACAAAUAGUAAACAAUUGAAUAGUUAGCACCAGAGAUCUCAAGUUUCAAAAUUAGCUGCUUCAUAUUUUUAGCUAAGUUUAUUUUAAAAAAUAAUUAAAGUGAAUAGAAUGUUAUCUUUCUCUCUCAAAAAAAAAAAUUUUUUUGUUUUGGAGAGAUAGGUAGCACGCUACCCGCUUUGUUUAUUUCAUUUAGAAAUAAACUUAGCUAGAAAUAUGAAUUAACUAGGAUUCAAACUUGGGUCUCGGAUACCAACCACUAAGUUCUUUGCCACUUGCUCUGAGGACGGUCGGUAAAAAAAAAAAAAUAAAAAAAAAAUAAUGCUUAAUUUGGAUAAAAUUAUUUAAAGUAAACUUUAAUUUGCCCAUCUGUGAUUUAGCUCACUUUCGCUUUACCACUAUAA
rnacentral:lncRNA from 1 species